rnacentral:rRNA from 1 species
AACGAACGCUGGCGGCAGGCUUAACACAUGCAAGUCGAACGCCCCGCAAGGGGAGUGGCAGACGGGUGAGUAACGCGUGGGAAUCUACCCAUCUCUACGGAACAACUCCGGGAAACUGGAGCUAAUACCGUAUACGCCCUACGGGGGAAAGAUUUAUCGGGGAUGGAUGAGCCCGCGUUGGAUUAGCUAGUUGGUGGGGUAAAGGCCUACCAAGGCGACGAUCCAUAGCUGGUCUGAGAGGAUGAUCAGCCACAUUGGGACUGAGACACGGCCCAAGCUCCUACGGGAGGCAGCAGUGGGGAAUAUUGGACAAUGGGCGCAAGCCUGAUCCAGCCAUGCCGCGUGAGUGAUGAAGGUCUUAGGAUUGUAAGGCUCUUUCACCGAUGAAGAUAAUGACGGUAGUCAGAGAAGAAGCCCCGGCUAACUUCGUGCCAGCCGCCGCAGUAAGAC